CGGGGUGUAGCGCAGCUUGGUAGCGCGCCACGUUCGGGACGUGGAGGCCGGGAGUUCAAAUCUCCCCACCCCGACAA
rnacentral:tRNA from 1 species